rnacentral:lncRNA from 1 species
UUGGACGAUCAUGCUCUCACAGCUCCCACUUACCUGAGCGUAGGUGCGACGUUGCAUAAUUUAAAUCUAGCGACAUAUGUGGCUAAUUCACAUAUGAAGGCUACCUCCACCAUUAGACCACAGGGUAGCAUAGUGCGGUCAUCACACAUCCAUACCUGAGUACUGCCGGAGAUGCAUAAUUAAAACCCCCCAAGUCAGUACUUAAAUAGCCACCUAGAGUCCUUAUGUGGGCAAGGAGGAUUCGACCACUGGCAUAACUUGAUUACUUAUUAUACACCAUUUUAUUUAAAAACUCUUUUGUUUUAAAUACACAAACGCUGCAUUUAUAAUGCUGAACUUGCUCCGAUGCCAGCUGUCACAGAACCGACCAAAUUAUAAGAGUUCAAGUGCAGAAACAAUCG